rnacentral:tRNA from 1 species
GUCCCUGUAGCUUAUAAUAAAGCAUAGCACUGAAGAUGCUGAGAUGUUGCCACACGCACCCAUGGACA